UACGAAGGGGGCUAGCGUUGCUCGGAAUCACUGGGCGUAAAGGGCGCGUAGGCGGCCAUUCAAGUCGGGGUGAAAGCCUGUGGCUCAACCACAGAAUUGCCUUCUAUACUGUUUGGCUUGAGUAUGGUAGAGGUCAGUGGAACUGCGAGUGUAGAGGUGAAAUUCGUAGAUAUUCGCAAGAACACCAGUGGCGAAGGCGGCUGACUGGACCAUUACUGACGCUGAGGCGCGAAAGCGUGGGGAGCAAACAGG
rnacentral:rRNA from 1 species